UGCAAGUCGGGCGGUAGCAGGGAGAAAGCUUGCUUUCUCCGCUGACGAGCGGCGGACGGGUGAGUAAUGUCUGGGGAUCUGCCUGAUGGAGGGGGAUAACUACUGGAAACGGUAGCUAAUACCGCAUAACGUCGCAAGACCAAAGUGGGGGACCUUCGGGCCUCAUGCCAUCAGAUGAACCCAGAUGGGAUUAGCUAGUAGGUGGGGUAAUGGCUCACCUAGGCGACGAUCCCUAGCUGGUCUGAGAGGAUGACCAGCCACACUGGAACUGAGACACGGUCCAGACUCCUACGGGAGGCAGCAGUGGGGAAUAUUGCACAAUGGGCGCAAGCCUGAUGCAGCCAUGCCGCGUGUAUGAAGAAGGCCUUCGGGUUGUAAAGUACUUUCAGUAGGGAGGAAGGUGUGAGCGUUAAUAGCGUUCACAAUUGACGUUA
rnacentral:rRNA from 1 species